AUGGCCAAGGGCAAGUUCAAGGGCAAGCCCACCGGGCAGCGCACCUUCUCCUCCAAGGAGGAGCUCGAGGCUGGUACUUCAGCAGAUCGUCCAAAGACCUUUUCUAAGAAGAAGCAAGAGGUAUCUAACAGAAGGGAAGAGUCAAUUGAGGAGGAAAGUGAUGAAGAGGUUGAGAAGACCAAACACAAAGGAACUGCAGGUCUCAUCGAGAUUGACAAUCCAAACCUGGCGAAACCAAAGAGUAUUAAAGCCAAGGAUGUUGAUGUUGAUAGGACAACUGAUCUCUCCAGGCGUGAAAGGGAGGAGCUUGAGAAGCAGAGAGCUCGAGCUCACUAUAUGAGACUUCAGGAGGAAGGAAAGACAGAACAGGCUAGGAAAGACCUAGAUCGCCUUACCUUGAUCCGGCGGCAGAGGGAGGAAGCUGCAAAGAAGCGCGAAGAGGAAAAAGCUGGCAAGCAUACUAGAAGAUAA
rnacentral:rRNA from 1 species